GACGCCGAAACAGACCACGUGGGGGUCUCUGGUGGCACUUACUAGACGCUUCCCUCCUUGUCCCCGUGCUCGCCCCGUCCGGGUGUCCGUGACCCCGGUUCGGCCUCAGCUAGGCGCCCCUUGGGAAAGACCCCCCGCCCCCGAUCCCGGGGAAGGAACCCCCGGGGGGGGCACCACCUCUUAGGUGGGCACGUCCUCGGGGAUCCGGGGACCCUAGUCCCCGGGAAGCGCCCUCGUGGCGCCUAAAUACACCCCCCCCCCAGUCCCCGCACGUCUCGUGUUUGUGGCCCCGACGCUCAAGGGCUCCAGGCCACAGAAGCUUCAACCUCCUAUUUCAACGAAAAGAGAACUAUCGGAGAACGCAGCUGGGGGCCGGGGGCCGCCGAGCCUGCUGGGUAUCCGCGUUGCCGCUGCACUCGGGACUCCAGUCUGCCGGCUCUUGGCAAUGACCCCUGACACUGCCAGUUUGGAGAGUGAGCGAGAUGGUGGAUCUGAGCGCUUGAGGUUUCCGUGCAGAGCAGCGUGGUUACAGUGCCAGCCACAAACCGAGGGGACGGCAGCCGCUCACUACAGACGCCUUUGCCUUGCCACUUUGCAGGGUAGUUGGGCUUUUCCAAAGGUCUGGGAUGAGUCUUGCCAAAGCUGGUAACUGCUGUGAGCCCUCUUCAAGGAGCCUACAGUGUUCUCCCCCAAAGUCAUGGUUUUCUGUCCUGGGGGAAAAAAAUCUGAACCAUUGGGGUUCUGAUCUGUGUCCACUAAGACAUUGGCACACCUUGCUGUAGAAAGGGUUAGUCUCCGAAUUUUGUAGAGAUCUAAAUUUAGAGUUGAAUGAAGAACUCCUUGUAGAUAUCCUAGGUAUCACUUAGGAAUCUCCCCUUGAAAUAUGAGGCUUGUGAGGUUCACAUGUUUGUCCUAGAGUUAUGAAAGGCUUUAGCACUUAUUAGAAAAUAAUUCAAUUUUACUGAUUAGGAAACCCAGUGGGACAUCCAUUUUAUCAUGCUUUUAGAGGAGGGUGGGUAGUUUUGCAAGCUGUGCUGUAGGGACCCUUUUGCUGCCAUAUAUACGAGUCCAAAGCACAUGGCCAGGGUUCCCUGCCCUGCAUCCCCCCAUCUGGUGACUAGCACUGCCACACCAGCAAAUACAGUGGUCAGGCUUUGUUUUACAAUUGCUUUAUAUGUUGGGGCUUCCUCUUGAGCCAACAUUUCAACAUUUCCAUCUGAGACAGAAACAUGGGCCCAGAGAGCCAGGCAGCAUGACAAGGAAGCAGCAGCUUGAGCCAGUGUCUAUUUAAGGAUUGUGGAAACUGAACAGGAGCUGGAAACUUCUCAACUUGCUAGCUCUCUGCCUCUGGGUAAACAAGUUCCAGGCUUCCUUUGGUUUUUAAAUCUGUUUGGAGUUUGUUUCAAUGUCUCCUAUACAAACUGUUGCCAGUAGUAUUUACUUUUUUUCUAAAAUUGCUACUAUUCCAGGCUAAUAUAACAAAGAGAUCAAGCUGUCACUGCCAUGAAUUCUGUGGAAUCCCAGAUGAUAGGAACUUAAUUCACUGUUCAUUUUACUCCUGGCUGAAUGUUACCACGGAGGUUCCCAAGUGUGAGGAAAUUUUGGAGGAUGUCACCUUUUUACAGAAAUUCUAUUCAAAAGGAAGCUUUUUCUUCAUCAAAUGUAGCUAGUAGAUAACUACAAUUAAAGACACUCUACAAAACAAAAAGCCCCAACCCAUAAAAAGGGACAUGAUAUUCCUAAUGUUGUUGUUCUCACUUUUCUCCCAGGCUCAGUCCAGUUCAAGAUGUUGACAAACUUCAGGGCUGCUGCCUGAAGGAAGCUUUUCACGUAGAUAAUGUGUAUUUGCACAUGGGGAGACAUGGAUUCUUAAGGAUCAGUGAGGGUCUGAUUGCAAAGGAGCAUGAGGGAGUUCUGAGGAAAUGUUUAAUAUCUUGUUCAUGGUGGUGAUUACAUUUGUCAAAUUUCAGGGUGAGUUUUGCUAAAUGUAAAUUACACAUCAAUA